UUUUUUUUUGCGGUUGUUAUUGUACUAGGUUUUUUAUGAUCUUUUCUAGCAAUUUGAUAUGAUAUCACACAUAAAAACCGGUUAUGCAAGAUGUCGUAAACAUUCGUGUCACUAACAAAAUAACACGAAGUGAUGUUAGAAAACAUUUUAGUAAGUACUUAAUUUCCUUUUAUGUAAUUUCUAAAAAAAAGACCAUGGUGGAAUGGAAGUUGCCGCAGGAAGUUCCUCCAUCCGAAAUGAUGACGGUGAGCUGCGCGCGUCAGCGACACAGUGGUGGCGCUCGGAUCUGGCCAGCUUGCCCGCUGUUGCCUCUUCCAUGGGCUGCUGCAUGGAUGAAGAAACCAUAAGUUAAUGGAGAAAGGGAUUUUGAAAGCCAAAUAAGAGUUUCUUAUGGUCGAAAUCAAAUGGUAACAUGUUUUUAUUAAUCUCAAAAGCUUACAAAUAAGAUUUAGCAGUAUGUUUGCAUGCCAUGUUUUUGGUCAACAUUGAUCUAUCUAGCGGAAACACCUACGAGGAAGGAUAAGGUAGAUGAUGAUUGUGUUGCUUACUUGUGUGUCUAGAGGGGGAGGAGGAGGAGGAGCUACUUCGUCUUCUCCGGAUCUGGCCAUCGCAACCCACCCCGCCGUCGGAAGAUUGGACGAGUUUAGUCUGGUUUCCCUUUUAUGGGGAUAUUUGAUCUUUUGCUACACACAUCUUUGCUCGCACAUUGAUUACUUGCCCUUUUUUACCCGAUUUGAGUCAAUUUUUGAGUUUACACUAGAAAGUGAAUGACCAAAAUGUCCCUAGUGCCCACUCGCGAAUUCCUCCUCUUCCCUUUGCAGGUUAAUUCAGUAUAUUAUCCAUGUUUUGGAUCCGGUCAUCAGCGUCCUUUUUUUUAUCUGAAUUUUCUUCCAGGGAGAAGGGUGGUCUGUUCAUCCUUUGCUUUGGAUCUUGCUUGCAGCAACCAAACAAAAAAUGUGUUUUGCUCAUAUUUGUUGGAUCACGUGUUUACUUUUUCAUUACCGUUCGUCGACCAAACACUUUCUAUCUUCCUCUGUUGGUGAUGUGCAUCCACAACCCUCCUCCUGACCAUCUUCCUGGUAAUGUUGGUGCGGUGAAUAGGCCAUAUCCAACUUUUGGCAAAAUUUUGUUCACUUGGGUUGGGUGGCAUUCCGCCCACAAAAACCCGUAAAUUCAUGCCCGCGUGACCGCUACAGUGAAAACAGGCCUUCUUCACCCCUGAAACACGCUAAAAAACCAUGUUCACUUGAGGUCAGGCACCAUGGUGUGCUUGGGCGAGCAAAUGAGUGCCAGCCAAGUAAAACGACAUGCAGCAAAUUCUGUGUACAUGUAAAUGAAUGCAGACUUGGCGCAGACUUUUGACUCAAGAUGAUUUGGCGCAGACUUUGAAGACACAUUUCAUUUUUAACCCGGAAAUAGUUCUACUUCUUUCACAAGAGUCGGCAAAUGUAAAUGAACGCAGAGUUGUCGUUCAAGCUUUCUUUAAGAGAAAAGAUCAUAUGGUCCUGCUUUAUAGAGCGCAUACUGGGAAAGUUACAGCUGACAGAAUAACAGCAUUCAUCCAAACAGAUAAACAGCCUGAAGAACACAUAGAAAACAACGCCAGCCAACAUUAACUUUGAAAAGACAUGACAAGAUCGUUUUGUAGUACACAGAAGGGCAAAUGACAUAGGCUUACUCACUCUGAAGGGCCGUCUAAGACGGUGAUCGCCUUACCAAAGUGCUCCGAGGUGAGUCGUGCCCACUUGCGAACCCUUGGUAGAAAUUUUCAACGCCGCUGAUAGUUUGAUGGUACACAGAAAUAGCCUUACUCACUCUGAAGGGGCGUCUAAGACAGUGAUUGCCUUACCAAAGCGUUCCGAAGCAAGCUGUGCCCACUCGCGAACCCCGGGUAAAAAUCUUCUUUCAACAGCGAAAUUCUUCAGAUCAGCAUAACUGCAUAUUGCGGCCGCGACCCUUGGUUGUAAUUCCAUGUGGUCAAGAACACGAGCAUUUUCCAGGAUACAACAUGCCAGUUCGGCCUGAGCCUUGUAGCACCGGAACCCGCUGAUGUGGACAGUCUUAAGAUGACCAUGGUGAUGCAUGUGGGGGCCUUCCUCCUCCGCCACCUCAGCAGGCGCUGAAGCCUUGAAGUAUGAAUAUAUCAUCUGCAUUUGAAAGUUAGCAGUUAGUCGGUCAGAAACCGUCCGGGCACAUGUCUUUCGUGGAAACCAUCUGUUUAUCUACCAAUACCAGUUAAUAACAUGGCACUCACAUCCAAGUGCAACGUCUGCAGUAGGGGUGCAACAUUCAGACAGUGGACCAGUUGAAGAACUCCAUUAUCGGAAUUUGGUUUCUUAAGAGACAAGACAGUUAACCCACAAGUCAUGUGUCUCAAAUGCAUAAACAUGCCACACGGUCUUGGUGCCAGCUUCUGCAACUGAGUCAUGACAAGGACAAAUAAGAUGACAUUAAAAUCCAGUUUCUAAAACUACAAGGUAAGAAAACAAGAAUAUGUAAAUAUAGACCAGGUAACCUGUUCAUAAGCAGAUAUUUGAGCUUGCACAUUUAGCACCUUCACUCUCAAAAUGAUUGGAACUGCAGUGAAUGCACGGGCCAAUCCAUUGCUGCCUUCAAACAUUAUUGUAGCCAUCUCUAGCUUUGAGCGACCAUGAAGUACUAUAGGGAUCUCUUUUCCUUUGUACUCAAAAUGAGCAAGAUCGGCAGCAUUGGACUCAACCGUCUCGACAGCCAUUCUGUCAAUUAGCAAAUGUUGAAGUUUAUCAAGUUGGUGCGGUAUGCUUAAAUUGGUUACACCGGAGCACUCAAUCAGCUCUAGGUCCUCGAGUGCUGAACAGUUUGCUAAAAAUCCUGAAAAGUCUCUGAAUAUCUCAACAAAUUCCAGAACAAGCCUUCUGAGUAGUGUGAAGCCAAAUAUGCCUGGGUGUGGCUUUAUAGAAACAUCAGCGAGAUACAAGGACUGCACACAAGAGCUGCCUUGAACAACUAAGGCCUCAAGAGGGAACUGGUGAACUUCUCUGGAUGGCGAAUCAAUUUUCUUCAGGUCAAAAUCUACAAUCUUCGCCUUUGAUGAAGCGGCAAAGCCAAUCCACCUGUCAAGAUGAUAAAAUUCCUCCUUGUGCAGGCCACACCUGAUGCUGAACUUGUUGAUUCCCACCCUGCUAUGCCGUUGAAUAACACAAUUCACAGCCUCAAUGAACUUAUCUUGUUUCAUUUUCAACUUAGCCUGUGAUGUUUUGACAUAUUCAUCAACGGCGGCCUCCUCAUCAGAUUCCAAAGGGGGCACAGAAGGGUCAUCAUCCAGUUCAUUGGGACCAUAAAAACACAGAUUACAGUGGAAUGUCCAGAGCAUUUUCCAACUUGUUGAAACAAUGCUGGUCCUCACAGCCUCUUUAAGUGGGAGCAGUGAGAUUAUAACAGGUAGAAUCUCCUGCGACAAGGGCCUGGACUGUUAAACUGGUGACGAGCCGAAUAGGCACAAGUUUACUGAAAAUCAAAUUGCACAAUGCUGAAAGUGUAUACAUUGGAAAGUGAGAAAUCUGACCAGUCGCAAAUCGCAUCUUUUUGGAGAGUUUCUAUUGGGUGUUUUACUAUUCUAUUUGUAACAAUCUUGCACGUACUCCCGGAUGCUGUUACAGCUGUGUAGAGGCAAUGUCUGUAGGAAUGUUAUAGGAUAGUUGUGUCAGCCUGUCUGGCUCCUAGAGAGAAUGGACAGUUUUCAGUCCAUUCUGCUCUAAAGACAGAGAACUAAUUUCCCCUUCAAAUUUAGAAGGAACGCAAAACUACAAACAAGAUAUAGGUUUUCGAUUUCGGUAGUUACGAGGAAAACUAUUUUGACGGAUGGCAUGGAAACCAUGUUUCCCGGUUCCCCUGGAACUAGUGAUCAUCUGUAUGUGCGCACUGUCCUGUAGCCAAGUAACUGUGAGUCAGAUAGUGUUCAGUUGGGUUCUGUUGCUCUUUUCUACUAGUACUACUUAUCAGUCAUGCACAUGCUAGUUCUUGCGCCGUUCACUGUUUCGGAAUGCAAGGAAAGGUGAAACAGGACUACAUUCAGCAGAAGUGAUUCACCAAUUUUCCUUUCUCUAACAACUCCGGUGCCCUGUUUCGCCUACUAAGCAGCUUCAGCAAGAAAACCCUACACACAAAGCCUCACUUUCAACAAAAGAACUUGAAGUGGACAACAAUCGAAGGCCCCUGCAGGCAGCAGAACACAAAUUUUCUUCGCCCCGGAGGUGCAGAUCCAUGGAGAACACCACACCACAGGCUACGUCUUAAGUGAAGAAGGAGGAGGCGGCGGGAGGGGAGUUACCGCGGGAAGGUCCUCCAUCCGGAAGGACGGCUCGUCGCCGGCGCCGUGGUGGCAGUGCUCCAGGCUGCUCACCUUGCUCGCCGACGACCCUUCCGCCGUGGGCUGCAGCUGCAGGGAAGGAGGGGAGCGGGGAAACCAAAGGGUCAGGAGCACCCAGGGGAGAGGAGAGGGUGGAGGAUGAAGAAUGGGGGUGCUGCUUACCUGCUGAGGAGGAGGAGGAGCGGCUAUUGCUGCUGCUUCUGCAAGAUCGGUGGAGCUCGGUCUGCUUUCCUUUUUGGUGCCAACGGAACGCUCAGUGGCCAAGUGCCAAGUCCCAGGCUCCCAGCAAUCUAAAGGGCGUUGGAACGAGUACCUUCUUUUUUUCCCUUCCUCCUUUCCCCCACCUCAUCACAUAAUCCAUUUCAGAUCCAGUCAAAAAUCGAUUUCGGCAGCACAAACUGCAAAUCAUACUUGCGCCUUUUUCAAGAUAUAAUCACUCCGUCCGCAAACAUAUCAAUUUUCUCCGGGAGUGGCAGCUAGCCACGCUCACCACGUGGAAACUCCAACCCCUUCAUAACCCCAUUAUUCAUUUCUGCAACUAACACCAAAACAGCAAGUAUACAAAAGGGACUUUUAAUUCUAAAUGAUGAAACCAGGCAUGCUAAUUUGAGCUAGCUAGGGUAUCAUUGAUGAAAAGACUAGGUACAGUAGUACAUUACACGGACAAAAACCCCGUAUCAUGAUGAUGAUUAAGCGUUUUCGCGCGGUAAAAAUGGACGUCCCUCGAAACCAUCACAUUUCCAGUCCAACACACCUCUAGUGAGAGCUAAGCAGGCGAUGAGAAUACAAGACGGCGGCCUACAGCUCGUCCUUGUCGUACUGCUCAUGCUCCGGCUCCUCCGCCUUGCCCGACUCCUCCUCCACCUCGGGCUCCUCCACCUCCUCUUCCUCCUCCACGGCCGCGUCCGGGCUCAGGUCCAGGCUCUUUUGCACCGACCGGUAGAUGCUGGAGGCGAAGUCCUUGGGGUCAGGCAGGUUGAACCCGCUCUCCAUCAGCGCCGUCUGGUACACCAGCCUCGCCGUCUG
rnacentral:lncRNA from 1 species